UUUAUCAGAGAGUUUGAUCCUGGCUCAGGAUGAACGCUGGCGGCGUGCUUAACACAUGCAAGUCGAACGGGAAACUUUUCAUUGAAGCUUCGGCAGAUUUGGUCUGUUUCUAGUGGCGGACGGGUGAGUAACGCGUGGGUAACCUGCCUUAUACAGGGGGAUAACAACCAGAAAUGGUUGCUAAUACCGCAUAAGCGCACAGGACCGCAUGGUC
rnacentral:rRNA from 1 species